UGCGUAGGCGGCCUGUUAAGUCAGGGGUGAAAGACGGUAGCUCAACUAUCGCAGUGCCCUUGAUACUGAUGGGCUUGAAUGGACUAGAGGUAGGCGGAAUGUGACAAGUAGCGGUGAAAUGCAUAGAUAUGUCACAGAACACCGAUUGCGAAGGCAGCUUACUAUGGUCUUAUUGACGCUGAGGCACGAAAGCGUGGGGAUCAAACAGGAUUAGAUACCCUGGUAGUCCACGCCCUAAACGAUGAACACUCGCUGUUGGCGAUACACAGUCAGCGGCUAAGCGAAAGCGUUAAGUGUUCCACCUGGGGAGUACGCCCGCAAGGGUGAA
rnacentral:rRNA from 1 species